CUCCGGUUGAUCCCGCCGGACCCGACUGCUAUCAGAGUGGGACUAAGCCAUGCGAGUCGACGUAGCAAUGCGUGGCGAACGGCUCAGUAACACGUAGUCAACAUGCCCAGGGGACGUGGAUAACCUCGGGAAACUAAGAAUAAACCACGAUAGGUCACGAUUUCUGGAAUGGAUCAUGGCCUAAAUCUACAUGGCCCCUGGAUUGGACUGCGGCCGAUCAGGCUGUUGGUGAGGUAAUGGCCCACCAAACCUAUAACCGGUACGGGCUCUGAGAGGAGAAGCCCGGAGAUGGGCACUGAGACAAGGGCCCAGGCCCUAUGGGGCGCAGCAGGCGCGAAACCUCUGCAAUAGGCGAAAGCCUGACAGGGUUACUCUGAGUGAUUUCCGUUAAGGAGAUCUUUUGGCACCUCUAAAAAUGGUGCAGAAUAAGGGGUGGGCAAGUCUGGUGUCAGCCGCCGCGGUAAUACCAGCACCCCGAGUGGUCGGGACGUUUAUUGGGCCUAAAGCAUCCGUAGCCGGUUCUACAAGUCUUCCGUUAAAUCCACCUGCUUAACAGAUGGGCUGCGGAAGAUACUAUAGAGCUAGGAGGCGGGAGAGGCAAGCGGUACUCGAUGGGUAGGGGUAAAAUCCGUUGAUCCAUUGAAGACCACCAGUGGCGAAGGCGGCUUGCCAGAACGCGCUCGACGGUGAGGGAUGAAAGCUGGGGGAGCAAACCGGAUUAGAUACCCGGGUAGUCCCAGCUGUAAACGAUGCAGACUCGGUGAUGAGUUGGCUUAUUGCUAACUCAGUGCCGCAGGGAAGCCGUUAAGUCUGCCGCCUGGGUAGUACGGUCGCAAGACUGAAACUUAAAGGAAUUGGCGGGGGAGCA
rnacentral:rRNA from 1 species